GAUGCCAAGGAAAUCAAGCUGGAGAUCUCCCAUUGCAAGAAUGAGAAAAAAGUUGCCAAUCCCGAGAAGACAGAGCAUAGACGUAUAGUGGAUGAGCUAGAGAGACUACUUGAAGAAUCGGACCGGCGUGCACAGCCUCAAACUCUCUCAAAAUUGCAGGAUCCCAAGGAGAAAGAAGAAAAGGCAGUUGUUCACACCAAGAAGAUGGGUGAUGAGGAUGAGAAAAUCCCGCAGGCGAAAGCUGUGUGCACUGAGCUGCCAAUGAAGCUACUUUCGAAGAAGAAAGAUCCGGGUAGCUUCACCAUUGAGUGCG
rnacentral:lncRNA from 1 species